UUGAGUCAGUUUGGGAGUUCGGAGCGGGAUCGAAUCAUUUGAAUCAGUUCGGGAGUUCGUAGCGGGUUCGCGAAUCAUUUGAGUCAGUGUGGGGAUCGCAAAUCAUUUGAAUCAGUUCUAUUUCCGUUUUCCAAGCGUGUUUAGGUGUGAUAUGUGAACGUAUUUUUUGUUUUACUGAUGUGCCUUUUAACAGUAUUAAGUAUAUUCAAAAACUAAACAAAUUGUGCCUAAAAAGUGCACGCAUCUAGGCUAAUGUAAAGUUACAUGAUGAAGUCAUACUAGUGCGUGUGGUGUGUGUUCUUGCAUUAUUCUGUGUAUUCAAAUACAUUUAUGAAUGCAUGUGAAUGAUCACAAAAUUCAAGAAAUGGGGGUGAGAAAAUGUAUAUAUUUAUAUUAUUUUAUGUAGUUAAUCAAUAUCACACGAAGAGUGCCAUUUCAGUUUUUCACUCUGCGAUCGCCUGAUUCGUAGAUUCAUAAAACCGUCAAUUAAUUCGCAGUUACAUAACAGCCUAUUGUACGUCAGCCUGGUCGACUGCACAGCGGGAGCUGGCAGGCCAGAAUGACCGUCAGACCACCAGGAAAUGUCCCGGUGCUCCCGAUGGCCAGUCCGCCCCUGGAAAUAACUGACGGAGCGCAAAUUUAACCACCUCUCAGAUGUUUCCUCUAGUCUCUGUGUUGUGCUGAAGCCACGCCAGGAGUCUGGAAUUACACACGUACUGUAUCUAAUGGGCCUCAUCAGUCUCAUCAGUGAGCACAGAAACAAAGCAUCAAGACCUCCUUCUCUGGCAGCGGUCACAGCAGCUCAGUCUCGGGCUGUGGACGAUGAACAGUGAGGCUGAGGUGAGCACAUGGGGUCACGUGGACCGGGACGGAUGGAGUUGUACAGUGCGGAAAUCCUGUCCUGUCUUAUAUUUCCCUCAAGACUAUUGUUCUAGCAUGAUUGCGGAUCCAACUAUGCAAUCAACCGUUAGUUUUCAUAUGAUUAAUCUUUCGCAAACUUUCUAAACAAUCUAAAUUGACCUUCUUUAAAAAUGCUCACGUUUGCUUGCAAUUCCUGUUGAAAUAAAAUGUUUUGGUAAAUCAGAAUUACAAUGUAAAAAGUCAGAAAUUUACUGACAUUCUAAGUCAAAAUGAACACAAAAAUCAUAAUAAAAUGUAGAACUUU